CACUGCCAACCCCAUCACCGCGGACCGCCCUCCACCCCGACCAGCUCCGUCGUCACCCCCAACUACCCCACAGCAGCGCCGCCGAGCACCCCACUGACGCGCACCACCACUGUUGCCGAGCCACACCACCGGCGACCACCAUCCUCCGUCGAACCUCUUCCCUCGCCACCACACUCUUCUUCGCGAGAUUCCUCCCCCGAGCAGACCUCCUCCCUAAGUCUAUCAAGCCAGUAGUUCUUCAGAUGGGAUUGGUGAGCGCAAUAGUUUUGGACUUUGUGGACUAUUUUCUUAUGAGAGAAGAACAAGUGGGGAAGUCGAACAGAGAGCACUGCGUAAAAGCAUAAUGUUGAAGUAACUCGAGUUCUUAGGUCCCAAAUGACUAGAGAUGUUGAGGACAAAUACAUGGCAAAAGUACAAAGGCUACCACAAGCAAACCUGAGGAGUUGGAAGUGGACAAGUCCAUGGCAAAAGCAGGAAUGCGUCCACAAGCAAGCUGAGGUGAGGUAAUAUUCAUGUUUCUCUUGGCUUUGAGGUCUAAGUGGGUUAUUUUUUUUCUUGUUGGAUGUCUAUUUUUCCAUCUACUGCUCUACGUUCUCCAGAGAUGAUG